UACAGAGGGUGCGAGCGUUAAUCGGAAUUACUGGGCGUAAAGCGUGCGUAGACGGUUAUUUAAGUCGGGUGUGAAAGCCCCGGGCUCAACCUGGGAAUUGCAUUCGAGACUGAAUAGCUAGGGUACGGUAGAGGGAAGUGGAAUUUCCGGUGUAGCGGUGAAAUGCGUAGAUAUCGGAAGGAACAUCAGUGGCGAAAGCGACUUCCUGGAC
rnacentral:rRNA from 1 species